rnacentral:rRNA from 1 species
UACGGAGGGUGCAAGCGUUAUCCGGAUUCACUGGGUUUAAAGGGUGCGUAGGUGGGUCUGUAAGUCAGUGGUGAAAUCUCCGAGCUUAACUCGGAAACUGCCAUUGAUACUAUAGAUCUUGAAUCAUCUGGAGGUAAGCGGAAUAUGUCAUGUAGCGGUGAAAUGCUUAGAUAUGACAUAGAACACCAAUUGCGAAGGCAGCUUACUAGGGGUGCAUUGACACUGAGGCACGAAAGCGUGGGGAUCAAACAGG